rnacentral:lncRNA from 1 species
AAUUUAUCCAAAUUAAGUUAUGUAGUUGCGCUUCAUCAUCUUCAAUCGCUUCACUAAUCCCCCUCUCUUCUCUUCUCUUCUCUUCUACUCUCCCCCUUUCUCCGCGAGCAAGAACUCAUCUAGAUUGCGUCAAAAUUUAAUUUCAUCACCUCAUUUUUCACAAGCGGAAACGAGGGCAUCCAGAGAUACGAGCAACAGCUAAGCACAUGAAAGAAGAAAUGUAUACUAUUGGAAAACCAUUAGCAGAAAAUGUAUCAGAUUUAAACUAGUCUUUUUCACUAGAACAAGCCUGAAUAAUACCAAGCUACCUAUCAUGUAUGAACAUAUCUUGAUGUUUUCAAGACCUGUUGGAGCCGCAAAACCAUCUACUGUUUCCAUAAUUUUGCCUGAUAAAUAAGCAAGAAAACUGGUUACAACCAAAUAAAUCAUAGGAAGAAACAAAAUGACACAUAAACACCUUCCUCAAUUUAGAAAGAACAACUCUACAUAAACGAAAAGAAAGUUGCAUUGAAUGCUGUUAUAAGUCUUGAUUUCAUCAUUUUAAUGUAACCAUUGAAGUAUUCAAGUUUUCAAAAGGGUAACGCCGUUCGAAUAAAAACAAAAUUCAGAUUCCCUCUCGCCAAACGAAACGGGAAAGGUAUAAAAUUUCAAGCAAAUGGCGAAAAAAUUCACUAAACAAGAAAUAAACUCAAAAAUAAACUCAAAAGCCAAUGGAGCUAAAUUAGUCAACGUGAUAACGGAGCUUCAGUAUAACUUUUCUGCAAAAUCGGAAUUCCUCUUAAAAAUGCAAUUGCCACACUUGACUUGGUACAAAAAUCUCACUAAUAAUAGAAUUUUGCACUUAGAAAUAGAACGUCCCUCUUGUCCUUCUACCCAUGUAUUGUUCUUUGCCUAUCGGCCUCAACCAACACCAGUUGUCAUCCUCAUCACAACUUAUAAAGCACUUCAUGGAACUCCCUUCUACAUCUUUAGGAGCCAAAUAUUACUCAGACUCGUCGUCUAUAAUAACGGGUGGAUAUUCUUUUACGUUCUCCAACUGCACUUUCUUGCCAUCGGCUACAGUUGGUGCCUUCAGUGAUCUUCUCUCCGGAGUCGUUGCCAACAUCUGCUCAAACUCUUGGGGCGGGGUUGCAUUUGAACUUCAAAUAAUUCCGAGUAUCCUCUCUCUCUGGAUUUCCUGGAAUAUCUGCCAUCUUGGUCAUGAUUUUAAGAAUCGCGAAAACCCGGUCACAUGAGCACCUAGAAACUCCUUGGGCUUCAUAUUAUUGUAGCAACUCCAGAGAAGCUUUGAUUUUGAGACUCCCUGGAAAUAUACCCAACAACAAAAGGCCGGUUCUCAUCAGAAUCAGCCUUGGCCUUGUGUGCUACCUGCUCGAGAUUUUGCAGUAAAUUUUUAUCAAAAUAGUAAACUUGGAAUUACAAAUAUAUAAAUCAGUAAGUAAUUGGAAACAUACUUCAAGAAAUCAAUGACCAAACACUAGUAUACUAAGAAAAAGAAAAUAGACCUAAGGCCUCGUGUGAUAAGUUGUGAUAGAAAUGGUAGGAUUAGAACGAGGUGGGAUUAGAAUGGGAUGAUUAAUGAGUAGGAUUAGUAAUGAGGGCAAUACUAGUCCGACCGGGGUGUGUUUGGUUUGCACGGGAUUAGACAGUGGAUUAGUAAAUAUCAAAGGUAAUGUGGUGGUCAAUAGGUCCAAAAAUCAUGUGGAAUUUUUUCAUGAAAUUUCAUAUUUACCCUUUAAUUACACAAAUAUACAAUAUUAAGGGUAAAAAUGUCAUUUGGGCCUAGGAGUAGGGGGGGAUUGUUAAUCCCCCCCCCCCAUGGAAUUACAAUCCUACAAAUGGGAGGAUUAAUAGCCCGACCGGAUAUUAGUCCGGCCAUUCCUUCCGAAACCAAACACCGGACUAGGGGACCCACCGGACUCAUAGUCCAAUCCCCCUCCUAUCCCGGUUAUCAAACAUGGCCUAAGAGGCAUGUACCUCUCAAGUUACUGUGCUAAAGUUGUUUUGGCCUAAGGUAAUAAACGUUGAAAUACUGUUGUCAAGUCCUCAUCAGUUGCCCAAAAAAUAUCAGCAAAAAUAUCUUACAGAGAGAAACAUGAAAAAAGUAUGCUUGAAUAUGUAGGAAAAAAGUAUGCUUGAAUAUGUAGGUUGGUCUCAAAUAUAGGGAAUUUAAAUGUCUUGGAGAGAAACAUGUAUAUAUUUGAAAUAUGAGAUGUGAAAUUCAUAAAAUUGGUUGUAAAUCUAUCCAUUGGGUCUCUAAGAGGCAUUUGUCUCAAGUUGUGGUAAAGUUGUAUUCAUCUGGGUCUUGGGAACAAAUACCAUUCCAAAUCUCAUCGAGGGUUGGAAGAGAGGGCAUGUCACGUCUCUCUCAAAUUACGAAGAAAGCAAUAGAAAAUAUCUUAGAGAGAAGCAUGAAAAAUGUGUAGUUGAACUGUUGAAUUGAUAGAGGAAAAUGGAAACUUCUCAGUGUACAGUUAACUACUCCAUAUUCUCCACUUGUGACAAAUUACAAAUUGCAUUUUCUCUCUUUACAUCAAGUGCAUAAAAAUUCUCACCUACUUCUUAUAUGAGAAACUAAUAUAAGAACAAUAAUUCCAAUACGUGAAUAAUGAGUAGCAUUUCAAUUAAUUCAUUUGCCAAUAUCAAUUGCUGCCAGGGGUCUAGUUUGAAAAUGUGUGAGCUAUCAAAUUUAUGAACAUAAAUAUCAUAGGAAGAGAAUAACGAAAAUAUAUAGAUUUUAAUAUGUAAGGAGGCCUCAUAUUUAUAAAUUUGAUUAAAAUCCUUUAAAUGAGAAGAGAUCACCAUUCAUUCAAAAUACUGUUGUCAGAAUCAAAUUUGUAUAACACCCUCACGAAAUUGUUUUGAAAACAACAAUAGCCAUCAUUUUCAAAUGGUAGAAGACAUUUUCUACAAUAUGAAAAACUCCUCGAAAACAAGUUUUGGAAACCAUAUAAACAAACACAUUUCUGAAACAUAUUCUGCAAAACUAAUUAUACAAACGGCAACCAGUGUAAAUCUUGAAACUCAUUGAUAUCCUACAAUACCUUCGUGCCUCUGAUAAGUUAUAAUCGUAUCCAUCAUCUCCAACCUGUCACCGCCGAGAAAAUACACCGUAACUUUAGCUUGCACGGCUUCCAUGGCGGGGCCAACCAAGCUUUGUAGGGCCAAAAUCUUCCUUCUGGUGCAGAGAAAAUAGAUCUCGUUCGGCCACGGUGUCGGGAAAAUCGUGGCCGAGCAACCAGACGAAGGAGGACGAAAUCGGGUGCGCCGCCGCGUCCGAUGACGGCGUGCAGAUCGCUAGGACGUCGGAACCGCCCCAUAGGACUCUCUUGUGUUUUCUCCAACGUGAGUAGAAGGAAAUUAGUGUCUUCUAGAAUAGUUUCAGAUUCAUCGAUCCUGUAUCGCCUUGAUAAAUUUUCUUCUAAUCAAAGCAUCGUUUGAUUUUGAGGACGAAGAACAAUCGAAGUGUGGGUGAAUAUAUCUGAGAGUUUAUGUGGAGAAGAAGAUAAAUUAGAGCUAGGGUUAGGGUUCUGUGCUGAUUAUCAAACCGUAUAAAUUUCAAAAAUACUAAUAUUAAAGAAUUCUAUAUACAACAACCAAUGAGAAUUUAUUAGUAAUUAAUAAAUUAGUUUUGUACAUAAAAAAUAAUACAAAUUAAGUUUCUCGAGAAGAAAUUGAGAAAUGAUUAAGUAUUACAGUAUCAUAUUACAAAGUCAUUCAGACAAUUGAGAAAAUAUCAUACUUAAUUUAAAAUAUAAUUUGAGAGAAUGGCGAUAUAAAUUUUAACAACUAGUAAAAAGUUAUCAAUAUGAAAUUAUUUGAAUAACUAUCAACUGUGUAUUGUGAGAAUUUAUCAAACACAAAAUUUAAAAAUUGAGAAUAUAUCAAUUUGCAAUCUAAAAAAAUAUCUCAAGGAUAAACGAUUCGAUUUUAGAAUCUUGAAAACAUAAAUUUGAAUUCAAAAAAUCUUAUCAAAAAUUUUAGAAUCUUGAAAACAUAAAUUUGAAUUCAAAAAAUCUUAUCAAUUGAUCUCAAUUCUUGAUUUCUUUCUACUUUAUUCAAGGAAGUUUAUUGCAUAUAUUUGAACAUAGAUGUCUUACAAAAAAAUGUCUUCCACAGUGCCUAUAUGGGUCCCACUAUAAAAUGGGUAUCUAUCCUUUUUAGGAUGUCUACGGUUCCGUUUAGUAAUGCUUAAAUGUCAAGUUUUUUUUUAAUUUAUUAUAAAAAAAAAUAAAAUUUUUUGCCUUUUUUACUUUUGUGACUUUACUUUAGCUAAAAUUAAGCAAAAAAAUAAAAAUAAAAAAAUAAAAAAGCCAACUCUGAUUGAUUUUUUUAUUUAUUUUAAGCAAAAACUAAAUAAAAACUGAAAAAAUGGUGCCAAACGGAGCCUACAUGUACAUGUAUUUUAUGCAUUUAUGAGUUUACCUUUUACAGUUAGCCACUUGUUGCCCUAAUAUUAUUUUUUUAUACUAAAAAUAAAAGGUUUUAGUAAACUCAAUUUGUUUUUUGGUAAGUCACCUUUUUUUGAAAUUAAUUUAUAGAAAUCAAUUUUGUUGCUGUAAAAUAAUUUUUUUCUUAACCAAUAUAAGAGCACUUCAAUCACUAGUUCAAACCCUGAACUACAUAAAUCAAAUUUUGGAGAUAGGGUCAUUCUGCUUAUUCCUCCUCCAUUGAAAAUUUGGAUGUUCUUUAUACCCAGUUAAUUCAUUUAAUUGUAAUAAACUUCAGUUUAGCCAACUUUGACAAUAAGUUAACACACACACAAAAAAAAAUCAGCAUGGUGGCACCAGUCAGCUAGCAAUCCACCACUGAGCUGACAAAAGAAAAAAAUUCAAAAAAAUGCUAGACAUAAUUCGAAAUCUCUUGAUAAAAAAUAUAUGUGGAGUAGUGGAGAUGAUAGAAAAUCGAAUAUAGACGUAAAUGGUGGUGGUAUGUUGAUUUCGAUAGCAAGACACUGCUCGCUAGACCCGCAAGACAGAAAUAGUAAGAAGGACCAACCG